rnacentral:lncRNA from 1 species
UGGUAAGACUCAUUGGUUUUGGUUUUUGCAGAGAAGAUUGAUUAUUGUGUGCAGUUAAAAAUGAGUGGGUGUAUUGAAAUGAGAGAGGAGGGUCAAGCAUUGGAGCUAAAAUGGUAGAUGAGGAGCGGCUAGGGUUCUUCAUUAUAGGGAAAUGAGGCUAUUUGUUUUUUUUUUCUAAUCUUAAAAGAGAGAGAGAGAGAGAGAGAGAGAGAGAGAGAGAGAGAGAGAGGUCUGAGAGAAAUGGGAGAAAGGGUCGAGUGAAAUUUGAAAUGAGAGGGGUCCUGCAAUUGAAUUAAGAGAUAUCUCUCAUAUUCUAGAGAGAGAGGUCUAGAAUUUCUAAAAAGCAAUAAAAAAUGUGGGCACAUCUUAGCCUUUAUUUUGGAAUCUUAAGAAAUUCACCACAUGGAUGCAUGACACGUGUGCAUGCCAUGUCUGUUGAAAAGAACGUUUUGACACGGAGAGACAGGGAGCCGUUUGGGGCUUUGGGCUCGAGGCGAGACAGAGAUUGUCGCAGAUGCUAGGGGUUUUUUUUUUUUUGAAAUGAACAUGAAGCUGCUAAAUUAGCAUAUAUUGUAGCUGUUGCUAAAAAUUGACACCAGUGUGGACUUGGACAUGUUAGUCAGCGCGUCUUCACUAGCUCCCAGGUCUCCAGUUUGAACUCUGCGCCCAUCAUAUUUUUCUUUCUUUUUAAUGAGCCUUUCUUAUGACUCCAGGUCUUGGUUUUGAAUCCAGGUGCGCCCUUUCCUUUUUCUUAUUUUCUUUUUGUUUUAUUAUUUGUUUAUUUUUAUUUGUUUGUUUCUUUUAUGUUUUUCCUUUCUUUUAGUUUGUUUGUCCUAGGCGUUCGUUUUUAUUAAAGUAUGACAUAAAAUCAAUUAUCUCAAAUUUCUAUUUUACAAUAAUUAAUUGGAAUUUGGUUUGCUUCACAUUAUUUAAUAAUUCAUGUGGAGAACGACCUUGCGAGAUCCAUUUAUAUUACAAUAACCUUAUCAUUCUUGCAAGUAUUAUAGGAGUUUUGAACACGUUUGAGUAUCUUGUAAAAGUUACAUUACUAUAUUUCUUUAUUUUCCUCCUAUUUUGCAUUUUAUUUGGUUUUAAAUUGUGAACUUGUUGUACAUGUAUCAUCAUACAAUACUCCUUACUAUGGUUAUAUGACAUAUAUGCUUAAUGUGUUUUUAAAUUUUGGACUUGUUGGAUAUUUUUUUUGCAUUUUAUCAUUAUUUUAUCAUCUUAUCCAUGAAUUUCAUACAAGUAUAAUUUUUUGUAAGUGUAAAUAUGCAGUUAUUUACAAGAUAUACAAGAAAUUUACCUAAAUCUGCCUAGGCCGCCUAGGCGCCCGCCUAGACCCCGCCUAGGCGCUAGGCGCCAGCUUACCGCCCGACUAGCGCCUAGCGUUUUUUAGAACCUUGGUUUUUUUGCUACGCUUUCUUUUAUGCAACUUUGGAGACAUAGAGAAUUGCUAGGGUUCUUGGAGAUUUUCUAAAUGAAGGUGCUUUCAAUCCUUUUCUUAAUAAUAUUUCCUAUGAUUUUAAUUAUGAAUAUGUGUAACUAAUUUUUUUUGCUAAGGCGAAGCCUUGAGCCUUAGCAUGAAUAUGUGAUUUUUAUUUAAUUGCUUAUGAUUGAUUGCAUGCGUACUUUGAAUUAUUAAUCACCGGGAUUAAAACUAUCUAAUUGUCUUAAUGCCUGAUCACCAUUAAGAUAUUUAGAAAAGUAAUUUGAUGCAAUUUUGGUCGGAAGGUUCCUUGAAAUUGACGCUGGCUUCUUGUGAUUAAUAAUUGUAAUUUCACUUAGGAUGAACACCACGUCUUAAGGGUUGCAUGGUUUUUCAAAGGAUUUUCAUAAAACAUAAUGAGUCUUUCAUGUUCAGAUUUGAUCCGAACGUCCGGAUGGGUUACAUGUUAGAUAUACAUUCUAUGUUGGAAGUUCCAAGUAGAAUAUGAAUUAGGAAAAUCUAACCUUCAAAGUGGCAUGUGUAGAUCAUACGUAAUUGAUAAAAGUUUAUAGGAUUGCUAGGUGAUGGUGGAUCCCUAGUGCUUUCUUAAUUUGAUUUCUCCAAAACUAGUUCCUUUUCUUACAGUUUUAAUAUUGCAGAUUAGUUUACUUUUAUUAAUUAAAUUCGUUUUUAAUUUAAAUAGGUUAUAAAAUCAAUCAUCUCAAUUUCUACUUUACAAUAAUUAAUUGGAAUUUGGUUUGUUUUGAAUUAUUUAAUAAUCCCUGUGGAGAACGACCUUGCGAGAUCUGUUUAUACUACAAUAACCUUGUCAUUCUUGCAAGUAUUAUAGGAGUUUUUAGCCCGUUCACAUGUGUAGUAAAAUCCCUAUCAGCCAGCCACCCCUAAACCCUAGAAGGUCGGCCCACUUCUUCAUAUAAAUACACCCUUUA